GACGAACGCUGGCGGCGUGCUUAACACAUGCAAGUCGAACGGAAAGGCCCCCUUGUGGGGUACUCGAGUGGCGAACGGGUGAGUAACACGUGAGUAACCUACCCUUGACUUUGGGAUAACUUCAGGAAACUGGGGCUAAUACCGGAUAGGAGCUCCUGCUGCAUGGUGGGGGUUGGAAAGUUUCGGCGGUUGGGGAUGGACUCGCGGCUUAUCAGCUUGUUGGUGGGGUAGUGGCUCACCAAGGCUUUGACGGGUAGUCGGCCUGAGAGGGUGACCGGCCACAUUGGGACUGAGAUACGGCCCAGACUCCUACGGGAGGCAGCAGUGGGGAAUAUUGCACAAUGGGCGGAAGCCUGAUGCAGCAACGCCGCGUGCGGGAUGACGGCCUUCGGGUUGUAAACCGCUUUCGCCUGUGACGAAGCGUGAGUGACGGUAAUGGGUAAAGAAGCACCGGCUAACUACGUG
rnacentral:rRNA from 1 species